rnacentral:rRNA from 1 species
GAUGAACGCUGGCGGCGUGCCUAAUACAUGCAAGUCGAACGAAACUUCUUUAUCACCGAGUGCAUGCACUCACCGAUAAAGAGUUGAGUGGCGAACGGGUGAGUAACACGUGGGCAACCUGCCCAAAAGAGGGGGAUAACACUUGGAAACAGGUGCUAAUACCGCAUAACCAUAGUUACCGCAUGGUAACUAUGUAAAAGGUGGCUAUACUACCGCUUUUGGAUGGGCCCGCGGCGCAUUAGCUAGUUGGUAGGGUAAAGGCUUACCAAGGCAAUGAUGCGUAGCCGAAUUGAGAGGUUGAUCGGCCACAUUGGGACUGAGACACGGCCCAAACUCCUACGGGAGGCAGCAGUAGGGAAUCUUCCACAAUGGGCGAAAGCCUGAUGGAGCAACGCCGCGUGGGUGAAGAAGGUCUUCGGAUCGUAAAACCCUGUUGUUAGAGAAGAAAGUGCGUGAGAGUAACUGUUCACGUUUCGACGGUAUCUAACCAGAAAGCCACUGCUAACUACGUG